AUCAUGGUCAGUGAAAGCAUCAUUGAGAAGCUAAGAUUUUAGUAAAAUCUGAAAGAAGUAAGAGAGCAAGUUAUUCAGGUAUUCAAGGAAUAUUCCUCCAGGUGGAGGUCACAAUUUGGGGGCGGGGAAAAAUGGUGCCCAGCACAGUAAAGGAAGAUUUGUGAGUGAAGUAAAACACACAAAAAGAAAAUACGGUUAGAGGAAUUACAGGUCAGAUUACUUAUAGCCUGUAGGACUUUGGCUUUGCUCUAAGUUAAAUAGAAAGUCAAUAGAGGAUUUUGAGCAAAGGAACGAAUAAUCAACACUUUUUUUUAAAGAAUCACUCUGGUAGCUGUGUUUAGGAUAGACUAAAAGUGUGAGAUGGAAUGGAAAACUUAAAAAGGAUGAUUAGCUAAGAGGUCAUUGCUAUAAUCCAAACAAAGGAUAAUCAGUCUUACUUAGAGAAGGUUAGUACCAGAGGAAAUGGCAAGAAAUAUAUUUCAAUGAUUAAAAUUAACAGGAUGUACCACAGACUAGAUGUGAGAGGCAUAAAGAUUGACUGUAAAGAUUGUAGCCUGAGCACCCGGAAAGAAAGGAAUUCCUAUAAAUACACAGAGAGUAGAAAGAAUUUACCAAAGGCCAGUUAAGAGUGAUGGAAAAUACAGACAUCCUAAUUUUGAGAGGCCAAUUAAACAUUCAGGUAAAGAGGGGCAACUAUAUCCUGAAUUAAAGGUAGGGAUUCAGAUAAAUAUUUAAAUUUAGGGAAUUUUCAGCAUACAAAUGGUACCAAAACCAUAAGAAUGAAAGAUCACUCAUUCAUUAAGAAUGAGAAAAGAGGAGGGAUUUGAGGUCUGAGCCUUGGGCAUUCCAAAGUUAAGAAGUGAGGUUACGAAGAAGAACCAGGAAUGGAAAAUGAAAAGGAAAAGCCAGUGAAGUCAAAGACAAACUUCUGUACAAGGGCUGAAGACAGGACAAGAUGUGCUGAUGUAUAAAAAGUCUAAAUCUGCAGCAUAAUCGUGAAGAGAUGAGGAAAGCCACGUACUCAGAGCCUCACUUAAAGGAAAUGAAACAGUAAAACUGAAUCAGAUUUGGCUCUUCACUUCUGCCUUCAGUGCUGUCCAGACUCAGACAUUAUAUCAGUAGGUUUCAGUUUUACUAACCAAUAAGUUCUUUGUGUACUUAAAGUUGGUUGUUUUUUAAUGGGGAUGUGGAAUGGAGGGGUAAAUAUUUUGUGUUUUUUAAUGAGGAAUCCCAAACACUAGAGUUUUUUCUUUAUAUUGCAAAGGCACUGAUGCCCCUUCUCACAAAAUAUUUCAUGCUUCAGUAUUGGCCUAAAGUUGACUAUCUUUAUAUAAAUUAAAAUCUUCUCAUGUUUUAGUGGUGUUUUAGAAGAUCUUGACAUGUUACUUUUUGAAUUAAAGUGAAACGCAUAGCAUAUGGACUCAACAAAACCAUUCUCUGUGAAUAAAAUGUGUCACAUUCUAUAAUAAAACUAUAUAUAGCAUGUUAUUCCAUAUUCUGUAUGAUUAAUUUUAGAGAUUAUAUCUUGAAUUCUGCUAUCAAUCUACAAUGUUUAUUCAUUCAUUCAACAAAUAUUUGUUAAGAACUACUAUGUGUCAAGUACCUAGUUUGCAAC
rnacentral:lncRNA from 1 species